rnacentral:rRNA from 1 species
AGAGUUUGAUCCUGGCUCAGAAUGAACGCUGGCGGCGUGCCUAAGACAUGCAAGUCGUACGCGAAAGUAGCAAUACGAGUAGAGUGGCGCACGGGUGAGUAAUAAUUAGGUAACAUACCUUUUCGCUGGGGAUAACAAAGGGAAACUUUUGCUAAUACCGAAUAAUUCGUGAAGUGCUUUGGCAUUUUUCGAUAAAGCCGUAAGGCGCGAAGAGAGUGGCUUAAUUCCCAUUAGCUAGUUGGUGUAGGUAAAAGCUCACCAAGGCAACGAUGGGUAGCUGGUCUGAGAGGAUGAUCAGCCACACUGGAACUGAAAUACGGUCCAGACUCCUACGGGAGGCAGCAGUUAGGAAUUUUGCGCAAUGGACGAAAGUCUGACGCAGCAACGCCGCGUGAGGGAUGAAGGCCUUCGGGUUGUAAACCUCUUUUAGCUGGGAAGAAAACAAUGACGGUACCAGCAGAAAAAGCACCGGCUAACCCUGUGCCAGCAGCCGCGGUAAUACAGGGGGUGCGAGCGUUAUUCGGAAUUAUUGGGCGUAAAGAGCGCGUAGGUGGUUUGGUAAGUUUGAUGUGAAAUCCCUGGGCUCAAUCCAGGAAGUGCAUUGAAUACUGCCGGACUAGAGUGCAGGAGAGGAAAGCGGAAUUCCAGGUGUAGAGGUGAAAUUCGUAGAUAUCUGGAGGAACAACAGAGGCGAAGGCGGCUUUCUGGACUGCAACUGACACUGAGGCGCGAAAGCGUGGGGAGCAAACAGGAUUAGAUACCCCGGUAGUCC